UGCAAGUCGAACGGUGAAAGCGGAGCUUGCUCUGCUGGAUCAGUGGCGAACGGGUGAGUAACACGUGAGCAACCUGCCCCGGACUCUGGGAUAACAGUUGGAAACAGCUGCUAAUACCGGAUACGAGCUGCGAAGGCAUCUUCAGCAGCUGGAAAGAAUUUCGGUCUGGGAUGGGCUCACGGCCUAUCAGCUAGUUGGUGAGGUAACGGCUCACCAAGGCGUCGACGGGUAGCCGGCCUGAGAGGGUGACCGGCCACACUGGGACUGAGACACGGCCCAGACUCCUACGGGAGGCAGCAGUGGGGAAUAUUGCACAAUGGGCGCAAGCCUGAUGCAGCAACGCCGCGUGAGGGACGACGGCCUUCGGGUUGUAAACCUCUUUUAGCAGGGAAGAAGCGAAAGUGACGGUACCUGCAGAAAAAGCACCGGCUAACUACGUGCCAGCAGCCGCGGUAAUACGUAGGGUGCAAGCGUUAUCCGGAAUUAUUGGGCGUAAAGAGCUCGUAGGCGGUUUGUCGCGUCUGCUGUGAAAACCCGAGGCUCAACCUCGGGCCUGCAGUGGGUACGGGCAGACUAGAGUGCGGUAGGGGAGAUUGGAAUUCCUGGUGUAGCGGUGGAAUGCGCAGAUAUCAGGAGGAACACCGAUGGCGAAGGCAGAUCUCUGGGCCGUAACUGACGCUGAGGAGCGAAAGGGUGGGGAGCAAACAGGCUUAGAUACCCUGGUAGUCCACCCCGUAAACGUUGGGAACUAGUUGUGGGGUCCAUUCCACGGAUUCCGUGACGCAGCUAACGCAUUAAGUUCCCCGCCUGGGGAGUACGGCCGCAAGGCUAAAACUCAAAGGAAUUGACGGGGACCCGCACAAGCGGCGGAGCAUGCGGAUUAAUUCGAUGCAACGCGAAGAACCUUACCAAGGCUUGACAUAUACGAGAACGGGCCAGAAAUGGUCAACUCUUUGGACACUCGUAAACAGGUGGUGCAUGGUUGUCGUCAGCUCGUGUCGUGAGAUGUUGGGUUAAGUCCCGCAACGAGCGCAACCCUCGUUCUAUGUUGCCAGCACGUAAUGGUGGGAACUCAUGG
rnacentral:rRNA from 1 species